rnacentral:rRNA from 1 species
AGAGUUUGAUCCUGGCUCAGGAUGAACGCUGGCGGCGUGCUUAACACAUGCAAGUCGAACGAAGCACUCUAUUUGAUUUCCUUCGGGAUUGAUUAUUUUGUGACUGAGUGGCGGACGGGUGAGUAACGCGUGGGUAACCUGCCUUGUACAGGGGGAUAACAGUUGGAAACGGCUGCUAAUACCGCAUAAGCGCACAGUACCGCAUGGUAUAGUGUGAAAAACUCCGGUGGUAUAAGAUGGACCCGCGUUUGAUUAGCUAGUUGGUGGGGUAACGGCCUACCAAGGCGACGAUCAAUAGCCGACCUGAGAGGGUGACCGGCCACAUUGGGACUGAGACACGGCCCAAACUCCUACGGGAGGCAGCAGUGGGGAAUAUUGCACAAUGGGCGAAAGCCUGAUGCAGCGACGCCGUGUGAGCGAAGAAGUAUUUCGGUAUGUAAAGCUCUAUCAGCAGGGAAGAUAAUGACGGUACCUGACUAAGAAGCACCGGCUAAAUACGUGCCAGCAGCCGCGGUAAUACGUAUGGUGCAAGCGUUAUCCGGAUUUACUGGGUGUAAAGGGAGCGCAGGCGGUGCGGCAAGUCUGAUGUGAAAUCCCGGGGCUCAACCUCGGUACUGCAUUGGAAACUGUCGUACUAGAGUGUCGGAGGGGUAAGCGGAAUUCCUAGUGUAGCGGUGAAAUGCGUAGAUAUUAGGAGGAACACCAGUGGCGAAGGCGGCUUACUGGACGAUAACUGACGCUGAGGCUCGAAAGCGUGGGGAGCAAACAGGAUUAGAUACCCCUGGUAGUCCACGCCCGUAAACGAUGAAUACUAAGGUGUCCGGGAGGCAUUUGCCUUUUCGGUGGCCGUCGCCAAACGCCAGUAAAGUAUUCCACCCUGGGGGGGGUACCUUUCCCCAAAAAAUGGAAACUCCAAAGGGAAUUUGACGGGGGGACCCCGCCCAAACCGGGUGGAGGCAAAUGUGGUUUAAUUCGAAGCAACGCGAAGAACCUUACCAAGUCUUGACAUCCUUCUGACCGGUACUUAAUCGUACCUUCUCUUCGGAGCAGGAGUGACAGGUGGUGCAUGGUUGUCGUCAGCUCGUGUCGUGAGAUGUUGGGUUAAGUCCCGCAACGAGCGCAACCCUUAUCUUUAGUAGCCAGCGGUUCGGCCGGGCACUCUAGAGAGACUGCCAGGGAUAACCUGGAGGAAGGCGGGGAUGACGUCAAAUCAUCAUGCCCCUUAUGACUUGGGCUACACACGUGCUACAAUGGCGUAAACAAAGGGAAGCAAAGCUGUGAAGCCAAGCAAAUCUCAAAAAUAACGUCUCAGUUCGGACUGUAGUCUGCAACCCGACUACACGAAGCUGGAAUCGCUAGUAAUCGCAGAUCAGAAUGCUGCGGUGAAUACGUUCCCGGGUCUUGUACACACCGCCCGUC